rnacentral:rRNA from 1 species
AUUGAACGCUGGCGGCAGGCCUAACACAUGCAAGUCGAGCGGGGUUUUCGGACCUAGCGGCGGACGGGUGAGUAAUGCGUAGGAAGCUACCCGAUAGAGGGGGAUACCAGUUGGAAACGACUGUUAAUACCGCAUAAUGUCUACGGACCAAAGUGUGGGACCUUCGGGCCACGUGCUAUCGGAUGCGCCUGCGUGGGAUUAGAUAGUUGGUGGGGUAAUGGCUCACCAAGGCGACGAUCCCUAGCUGGUUUGAGAGGGUGAUCAGCCACACUGGAGCUGAGACACGGUCCAGACUCCUACGGGAGGCAGCAGUGGGGAAUAUUGGAGAAUGGGCGCAAGCCUGAUCCAGCCAUGCCGCGUGUGUGAAGAAGGCCUUCGGGUUGUAAAGCACUUUCAGCGAGGAGGAAGGGAGUUGUGUUAAUAGCACAGCUUUUUGACGUUACUCGCAGAAGAAGCACCGGCUAACUCUGUGCCAGCCGCCGCCGUAAUAC